UACAGAGGGUGCGAACGUUGCUCGGAAUUAUUGGGCGUAAAGCGAAUGUAGGCGGCUUUUCAAGUCACUUGUGAAAGCCCGGGGCCUAACCCCGGAAGUGCAAGUGAUACUGUUAAGCUUGAGUAUCAGAGAGGAUGUCAGAAUUCCUGGUGUAGUGGUGAAAUACGUAGAUAUCAGGAGGAAUACCGGUGGCGAAGGCGACACGCUGGGCUGUACCUGACGCUAAGACGCGACAGCAUGGGGAGCGAACGGG
rnacentral:rRNA from 1 species